rnacentral:rRNA from 1 species
GGAUUCCCCUAGUAACUGCGAGUGAAGAGGGAAAAGCUCAAAUUUGAAAUCUGGCAGUCCUUGUGACCGUCCGAGUUGUAAUUUAGAGAAGUGUUACCCGCGCUGGACCGUGUACAAGUCUCCUCGAACGGAGCAUCAUAAAGGGUGAGAAUCCCGUAUAUGACAUGGACUACCAGGGCUUUUGUGGUGUGAUCUCGAAGAGUCGAGUUGUUUGGGAAUGCAGCUCUAAGUGGGUGGUAAAUUCCAUCUAAAGCUAAAUACAGGCGAGAGACCGAUAGCGAACAAGUACCGUGAGGGAAAGAUGAAAAGAACUUUGGAAAGAGAGUUAAACAGUACGUGAAAUUGUUGAAAGGGAAACGCUUGAAGUCAGUCGCGUCCUUCAGAGAUCAACCCGGCCAUUUCGCUCGGUGCACUCUCUGUGGGAUGGGUCAGCAUCAAUUUUGACUGGGGGAAAAAGUCUGUGGGGAUGUGGCACCCUCGUGGUGUGUUAUAACCUGCUUGCAUAUACCUCGGUUGGGAUUGAGGAACUCAGCACGCCUAAAGGCCGGACUUUAGUCACGUACGUGCUUAGGAUGCUGGCAUAAUGUCUUCAAUCGACCCGUCUUGAAACACGGACCAAGGAGUCUAACAUGCCCGCGAGUGUUUGGGUGAAAAAACCCAAGCGCGUAAUGAAAGUGAAAGUUGAGACCUCUGUCGUGGAGGGCAUCGACGCCCGGAUCAGAUCUUUUGGGACGAUUCCGAGGUAGAGCGUGCACGUUGGGACCCGAAAGAUGGUGAACUA